rnacentral:rRNA from 1 species
UACGGAGGGGGCUAGCGUUGUUCGGAAUUACUGGGCGUAAAGCGCGCGUAGGCGGAUCUGCAAGUCGGGGGUGAAAUCCCGAGGCUCAACCUCGGAACUGCCUUCGAUACUGCGGGUCUCGAGUCCGGGAGAGGUGAGUGGAAUUCCUAGUGUAGAGGUGAAAUUCGUAGAUAUUAGGAAGAACACCAGUGGCGAAAGGCGGCUCACUGGCCCGGUACUGGACGCUGAGGCGCGAAAGCGUGGGGAGCAAACAGGG